rnacentral:rRNA from 1 species
GUGAGGAAUAUUGGUCAAUGGGCGAGAGCCUGAACCAGCCAAAUCGCGUGAAGGAUGAAGGUAUUAUGUAUUGUAAACUUCUUUUGUGCAGGAAUAAAGUGGGUUACGUGUAACCUUUUGUAUGUACUGUACGAAUAAGGAUCGGCUAACUCCGUGCCAGCAGCCGCGGUAAUACGGAGGAUCCGAGCGUUAUCCGGAUUUAUUGGGUUUAAAGGGUGCGUAGGUGGAUUGAUAAGUCAGCGGUGAAAGUUUGCAGCUUAACUGUAAAAUUGCCGUUGAAACUGUCGGUCUGGAGUGCAAAUGAGGUAGGCGGAAUGUGUUGUGUAGCGGUGAAAUGCUUAGAUAUAACACAGAACUCCGAUUGCGAAGGCAGCUUACUGGGAUGCAACUGACACUGAUGCACGAAAGCGUGGGUAUCAAACAGGAUUAGAAACCCGGGUAGUCC